GAGCUCUGGUUGCUGCCAGCCAGGCAUUGAGGAGAUCACUCCUUUUUCAGCUCCAGGUCCUCUCUGUUCCAUAGGUGUGACUGUCUCGUGCCCCAGAGCUCUUUGGCUUUGGUGAAAUGUCGACAAUCCUGAAAUGGUUUGGACGGGAAGAUAAGGAGAAAGAGGAGAAGGACAAGAAAGAGGAGAA